UCGUAGCCUACUGGUUAGAGCUUCAGCCUCGAAUGCAGAAUGUAGUGGGUUCAAACCCCGGCAUAAAAA